UAACCUGCCCAAGAGAUCGGGAUAACACCUGGAAACAGAUGCUAAUACCGGAUAACAACAGAUGAUGCCUAUCAACUGUUUAAAAGAUGGUUCUGCUAUCACUCUUGGAUGGACCUGCGGUGCAUUAGCUAGUUGGUAGGGUAACGGCCUACCAAGGCGAUGAUGCAUAGCCGAGUUGAGAGACUGAUCGGCCGCAUUGGGACUGAGACACGGCCCAAACUCCUACGGGAGGCAGCAGCA
rnacentral:rRNA from 1 species